rnacentral:piRNA from 1 species
GAUUGGAUUUAUUUAGCCAGAGGA